rnacentral:lncRNA from 1 species
UGUAAAUUCACAAAGUUGGCUAUUUCAAUACAGUAAGGCAAACUGUUUUCCUGAAUACCUGAUCGUCGAUGAGGACUUAUAAAUGGACAGGUUGCCUUUCGCUUUGAAGACAAGGAUGAAGCGCUUCAGUUAAAACAUGUUCUCUUUUCUGACAGAGAGUGUCACAGCUGUCUUCAGAAAUGGACCAAAAUGCAGCAGAGAUGUGACAGAGAGAAACCCCCAGCCUGAGAACAUCCACAUCUCCUCUCUAUCUCCCAGUCUUCCCACAGGCCAGGGGCCAACGCAUGGAGAAGGGGCAGGCAAAUGACAGGUCAAGGCAGGCAGGUGUCGAUAAUCCAGAACAGAGGCCAAGGUACAGGACGGCAGGCAGGGUCAGGGUAAGGCAGAGGUCGGUAAUCUAGAGAUGGAGCAAAGGUACAGGACGGCAGGCAGGCUCAGAGACAGGCAGUGGUCAGGCGGGCGGGUACAGGGUCAGGACAGGUAAAAACAACAGGAGGAUGAGAAAAAGAGAGACUGCCCACAAAAUGCUGGUAGGCAUGAACAGACAAGAUGAACUGGCAACAGACAGAAAACACAGGUAUAAAUACACAGGGG